rnacentral:misc_RNA from 1 species
UUUUUUUUUUUUUAUUUUCUUGCCUCACUAAUAAAACAUGAAAUGCCUGCAAUACUUUGUACUAAAAGCUAAUGCUUAGAGGUCAAUUGAAAAUUCUCUGGCCUGGUGAUAGCAUCAUUUUUGGAUCAAAUAGAUAUUUAUUCUCUUGGAAAGUUGUCCAUUUGGAGCCAAAAUGGUUGAUCCAUUCUUCUUUAGUUUUGUAAUUUGGAAAAUACUUAGUAACCUUGAUUCCAGCUUUUUCACAGAACUUUAACAAGUCUUUGUUCUGAUCAUCAUGCCUCUGCCAGUCAUCAAAUCCACUUGAAUGCAAAAAUCCCACUGUGUAGAAAACUUCCUCAUCUGGUAUAACUGCAGAAGUUCGAUCAUCCCACUUGUUUCGGUUCAUGGGGUAAAUAAGGACAGGUCCUGUGGUAAUGUUUCGUUUAAGAACAAUGUCCUGGAAAACACCUGAAUUGAAGUCAGAAAUACGAGAUUUUGGCAGAAAAAUAUUUAGCCAUGGAUGAGGAACAUCCCAUAGUCCUUGAGAUUGAAGCUUUAGUUCUCCACUUCUCACUCUAUCUAAAAACUCCACAUACGACACAUCUUUCUCCAACUUAAAUCCGGCAAUGAAGCUUAACCCUUCAUACAUUUGUUGAAGUUCCUUGGCCACAGAAUGUUGGGUUGUAUCAUCAUAAUACUUGGCCACUUCUAGACAGUAGAUGAUGCCAUGUUGGGUUACAAGGGACAUUAUUCUGGGGAUAUCAGAGGAAGGGAAAAAGGAAGAUCUCCAAUUAUUUGGAGGGCCUUGGUUCAUAAGAAGUGAACCUUCCACAUAAUCAAGUGCAUUGCUUUGUUUCCUUCCAUUGAUUGAGAUUAAACGUUCUUGGUCUUUGGUGAAAGCAGAGAAAUCGCUGUAAAGCAUCCGUACCCACUUAACUUUCUUUGGUGCUGGCUCUACAGCUAUUCUAGCUCUGGUUAUGACUCCAAAUUGGCCUAGGCCCCCCAGAACAGCAUAAAAUAGAUCUGAAUUCCUAUGUGCAGAGCAAGUGACAAGCUCUCCCGUUCCAGUGACAACAUCCAUUUCAUAGACGUUGCUGAUCUGAGGUCCAUAUCGAAAACUUUGUCCACUAAUUCCUGCAUUAGAGAGAGUCCCUCCAACUGUGAGAUACAAGUAAUCGGUCCACGAUACCGGUGCAAGUCCAUGCUCCAUUGUGGCUUUUAACACAUCAAUCCAUAGCUGUUCGCCUCCAACAUCUGCAUAAAACCCCAGUGAAGGGUUCUUUGAGACUAUAACUCCAGUCUUCUCCCUAUGAUUCCUUAGAUGCAUCAUGUCUAUUAUUACUCCUUUAGGAGCCAUAGCCUGUCCAAAUACAGAAUGGCUGCGGCCUCUAGCAGAUACUGUAAAAGGAACAGAACAAUUGUAGGCGAAUUUUAUUAGACUCACGAUGUCUUGUACGGAGGAUGGAUGCAGAACUGCGACUGGGCUUUCGUGGACAAUGUUACCGUAAUCUCUAGAGGCUGAUUCAAUGGCUGAAGUGUCUGUGCGGAUUCUCUCAGAGAAAUCAAGGGUUAAGAGCUUAGGCGGUAGGAGUUUGGAUUUUCCUGUGGACAUUAAACGGGUUAUAUAUAAUAAUAUCACUGUGAAAUAAGCUUGAACUGCAUAAUUCACGGCCAUUUUUUUCUUUCUUUUUUCUCUUCUGGCUUUUGUGAUAGCUAAUGAAAGAAAGGUUAAAAAAUCUCUUCUGGCUUUUUCUUGACAGAGAAAGAAAGAAAGAAAGAA